rnacentral:snoRNA from 1 species
AAACCAUGGUGAGGACAUCAUCUCAAUAAGUCCUUAUACCUCUCCCAUGCAUCAUAUAAGGUUUCUAAGUUGAUCUAAAAGAAGGAAGAGAUAUCCUUCCUUAACUU